AGAGUUUGAUCAUGGCUCAGAACGAACGCUGGCGGCAGGCCUAACACAUGCAAGUCGAACGGGACCUUCGGGUCUAGUGGCGGACGGGUGAGUAACGCGUGGGAACGUGCCCUUUGGUUCGGAAUAGCCCUGGGAAACUGGGAGUAAUACCGGAUGUGCCCUACGGGGGAAAGAUUUAUCGCCAAAGGAUCGGCCCGCGUUGGAUUAGGUAGUUGGUGGGGUAAUGGCCUACCAAGCCGACGAUCCAUAGCUGGUUUGAGAGGAUGAUCAGCCACACUGGGACUGAGACACGGCCCAGACUCCUACGGGAGGCAGCAGUGGGGAAUCUUAGACAAUGGGGGAAACCCUGAUCUAGCCAUGCCGCGUGAGCGAUGAAGGCCUUAGGGUUGUAAAGCUCUUUCAGUGGGGAAGAUAAUGACGGUACCCACAGAAGAAGCCCCGGCUAACUCCGUGCCAGCAGCCGCGGUAAUACGGAGGGGGCUAGCGUUGUUCGGAAUUACUGGGCGUAAAGCGCACGUAGGCGGACUGGAAAGUCAGGGGUGAAAUCCCGGGGCUCAACCCCGGAACUGCCUUUGAAACUCCCGGUCUUGAGGUCGAGAGAGGUGAGUGGAAUUCCGAGUGUAGAGGUGAAAUUCGUAGAUAUUCGGAGGAACACCAGUGGCGAAGGCGGCUCACUGGCUCGAUACUGACGCUGAGGUGCGAAAGCGUGGGGGAGCAAACAGGAUUAGAUACCCUGGUAGUCCACGCCGUAAACGAUGGAUGCUAGCCGUUGGGGAGCUUGCUCUUCAGUGGCGCAGCUAACGCUUUAAGCAUCCCGCCUGGGGAGUACGGUCGCAAGAUUAAAACUCA
rnacentral:rRNA from 1 species